rnacentral:sRNA from 1 species
GUGGUCGGUAGCGGAGUGACGAGCUUUGUGGUGUUUUUUCCUUUUUUUUUUUUUUUUUUUUUUACAGCAAACGUCUACGGUUUUUUUUUUUUUCAUAAGUAUUACCCUUUUUAUUAAAAACAGCAGUUGUAAACGAUACAACAGUGGAAGAACAUCCACUUUCAGAGUUUGACACACACUUUUACCACUUACAACAUUAAAUUAUCUAACUAGAGAGUCAUCUAAGUUGUAAAGCAAAAGAGUAUAGUAAGGGUAAUUAGAGCAGAGCAUUACACCACAUAACAAUACACUUCGGGUAUGCCAAAACCAAAAAGGGAUAUUAGGCCAUACCAUCUUCUUCAUAUCUUGUGGCUGCUUGAUUGAAUUGAAAGCAACUAAAUCAAAAAACAUGACAGAAUUAUAACAGAGUGAUCAACGCUUUUUUGGAGGUUUCAGAAUCCCUCCAUUCAUAUGCUCAUCUUCAUUGGACUUUCUUGCAUCAUCUUUAAACUUGGGACCACCCAUGUUCUUUCUUUUUGAUGAAUCCCCCUUUUCCACCGUGUGAACAUUCUGAGUAUUCUCACCUUGCCUUGAUGAUUCACCUACUUCCACCAGACGUGGAGAGUGUGCUGCAAAUGCAGGUCCGGAGAAAGGCUGGAUGUUAGAAUCCCUUUCAUCCACAUUUCUUCUAAGAGGUACCUGAGGCAAAGGACCUGCAAAGUUUGGUAAAGAGGUAGCUCUUGUAUGAGGGUAAUAUGCAGCCACCAAUUCAUCAGGAUUUAAAGGAGGAUGAGGAAUCCUUGGAGGUGGAUCAAUAGGAGUAGGAAACGAACUCUCAGACAUUUGAGAUUGUGAAUUCAUUGAAGAUCUCAGAUUUUCAUCUCUCAUGAACACCUCUUCUCUAACAUUCCUUUGAGCUGUAGUGUUAGUCACCCUAUGGAGAGACUCAAUCUGCCUGUAAAGACAUGAGUUCCUGUGAUGAGUCAUUCUGAAGCAGCUACUACAGAUUCUCCUAAGUCUUUCAUACUGAAAGCUAAUCAGAGCAGUCUCACCAGAAUCAAAAAUGAUUCUUAGGAAAAACCUCAGGCGAUCUGUAAUUCCAAACCGGAUUCUCACACGGAUAUAAGCUAUUUGAGUCGUAGUGGAGUCAUGAAAAUCCAGAGUGAUGAUCUCUCCUAACUCAUGUGCUAUCUCUAAAGCAGUUUCCUCACACACAUACAAAAGAGGAAUUCCACGCAUCUGAACCCAUAAUUCAAUAGAUGUUAACAGGUGAAACGUAAGAUUUACCUCCCAUCUCUGAGCUGUCACAAACCAGUUGUUAUACAGCCAAGGCUCCCUUCGUAGUACUGACAAGAGAUCAAUCUCAGAUUGAAAGAUGAACUGGACAAACGUGUCAUUAAGGACCCGGCCAUGCACUCUAUUAGUCAGACCCCAUGCUCUUGGUAAAGCCGAGAUCACAGCGUGAAGGUUCUGAGAGCGAGGAUUAAGAGGUCUAGCUAUCAGACUAAGCCGAUUCCUAGACUCCACAAUGGCAUAGGCUUCAUGCGGAAUAAAGAGAGCAGGAUCCUCCCUUCCCAACUCCAAGUGUUGUAACUCAUCCCACAACUCGUCUGCCAUAGCACCAGAAGUGAGAGUGAAAGUGAAAAGCAAGAGAAGGUUGUGAUACUAGCUUAACCUUAAGAGACGCUUAUAUAGAACAACCUAAAGUAAGAAAAGAGCGAGACAAACAAAAACUCAAGCUAAAAGACAAAUAAGACUAAGUCAAAGAUAAGGUAAAAUCUAUUAAUUGGAAAAAGAAAAACCGUAAAAAAAGAAGGUUUAUCUUAAAAAAGAAUAAACAACCACACUAAAAAACAAAUUUAUUUAGCUUAACCUAAUGGAAACCUAAAAAGUAAAUAAAUCUCUAAAAGCAAUCAUAACACAAGAGGACACUAAGCGAGAAAACACCGACACCUAACUAAAUAUCACACACGACCCCUAACACAAAUCACAACCUUUCUGCUAUUCAACACCUUUCCUCAUCAAACAGUAAUCGCAGCCAGCUAGGACAUCCCCUAGCCACGUAAGAUUGACAUCUAAAACCAGUAACAACAUUUUGUGCAAUCAAGGAAGCACCUCUAUUUACACUCAGGAGGUUCCAAUAACAAAAACCAAUCCGGUUUGUCCUUAGUGAAACUCAAAAGCUCAGCAAUAUGUCCAGUUAAUAUAGGCCAUUCCUUUGGUUUGUUCAGAGCACUAAUGAUUUCAAAAGAGGAAUAUCCAAACGUGACCUUAUCAAACCGAUGAUCUAACAUGCUACUUAGAGCCCAUUCCCAACUUCUUGAUUUUGCAUCAGAAAGAGAAUGUACCUGAGCAAAUGACCGGCGACUAUGCAAUAAGACUGAACCCUGGUCAUCU